GCUGACAAUACCCAAAAGGAAAGCCUCUGGUUUCUUAGUGAAAGUAUAUUUAAAUACCUUUUUCAAUUCAUUAUAAAUCAUUUCCCAGAACGCCUUCACUUUAGGGCAGGUCCACCAGAGGUGAAAGAACGUUCCUUCACACUCUUUACAUUUCCAGCACUUGUUAUCAGACAGGUGGUAAAUUUUUGCGAGUUUGACUGGGGUCAUAUACCAUCUAUAAAUCAUUUUCAUUACAUUUUCUUUCAAAGCAUUACAUGCAGUAAAUUUCAAUCCAUUACUCCACAGCCUUUCCCAGUCCUCAAACAUAAUAUUAUGCCCAAUAUCCUGUGCCCACCUUAUCAUAGCCGAUUUAACCAUUUCAUCUUGUGUAUUCCAUUCCAACAGCAAGUUAUACAUCCUUGAAAGUAUCUUAGUCUUUGGUUCUAACAAUUCUGUUUCUAAUUUCGAUUUCUCCACCUGGAACCCUAGUUUCUUAUCAUUUUUAAAAACUUCUUUAAUCUGAGCAUAAUGUAACCAAUCUCGCACUUUGUCUUUCAUUUUCUCCAAACUCUGCAAUUUCCAAUUGUCUCCAUCUUUUUCUAGUAUUUCCCAAUAUUUUGGCCAUUUGGCCUCCAUAUUGGGUCUUUUUCGGGCCUUAGCUUCCAAAGGUGAAAGCCACCUUGGUGUUUUAUUUUCCAGCAAGUCUUUAUAUUUUGUCCAGACAUUAAACAGUGAUUUUCUAACAAUAUGGUUCUUAAAGGCCUUAUUUGCUUUAACUUUGUCAUACCAUAAAUAUGCAUGCCAUCCAAAAACAUUGUUAAACCCUUCCAAAUCUAA